rnacentral:rRNA from 1 species
ACUGCCUGCCCAGUGACAUUUGUUCAACGGCCGCGGUAUUAUGACCGUGCAAAGGUAGCGUAAUCACUUGUCUUUUAAAUAAAGACCAGUAUGAAUGGCAAAACGAAAACUCAACUGUCUCCUCAGACAAGUCAGUGAAAUUGAUUUCCCCGUGAAGAAGCAGGGAUAAUAAUAUAAGACGAGAAGACCCUAUGGAGCUUUAAACCAAAACUAGCCAAUUUUAAUAACCUUUAAAUUAAUGGGAUUAGAUGUAGGUUUUAGGUUGGGGCGACCGCGGGGUAAAAAUAAACCCCCGAGAAGAUAAUUAGAAGGACACUUCAAAAAAUAGUAAUAUUAAUAUGUUUGACCCAACAAUUGAUCAACGAACCAAGUUACCCUAGGGAUAACAGCGCAAUCCUUUCACAGAGUCCCUAUCGACGAAAGGGUUUACGACCUCGAUGUUGGAUCAGGACCCCCAAAUGGUGCAAAAGCUGUUAAAGG